rnacentral:rRNA from 1 species
GACGAACGCUGGCGGCGUGCCUAAUACAUGCAAGUUGAGCGCUGAAGGUUGGUCCUUGUACCAACUGGAUGAGCAGCGAACGGGUGAGUAACGCGUGGGGAAUCUGCCUUUGAGCGGGGGACAACAUUUGGAAACGAAUGCCAAUACCGCAUAAAAACUUUAAACACAAGUUUUAAGUUUGAAAGAUGCAAUUGCAUCACUCAAAGAUGAUCCCGCGUUGUAUUAGCUAGUUGGUGAGGUAAAGGCUCACCAAGGCGAUGAUACAUAGCCGACCUGAGAGGGUGAUCGGCCACAUUGGGACUGAGACACGGCCCAAACUCCUACGGGAGGCAGCAGUAGGGAAUCUUCGGCAAUGGACGAAAGUCUGACCGAGCAACGCCGCGGGAGUGAAGAAGGUUUUCGGAUCGUAAAACUCUGUUGGUAGAGAAGAACGUUGGUGAGAGUGGAAAGCUCAUCAAGUGACGGUAACUACCCAGAAAGGGACGGCUAACUACGUG